AGUGAACGCUGGCGGCAGGCCUAACACAUGCAAGUCGAGCGGCAGCGCGGGGGCAACCCUGGCGGCGAGCGGCGGACGGGUGAGGAAUUCGUCGGAAUCUGCCUUUUUGUGGGGGAUAACGUAGGGAAACUUACGCUAAUACCGCAUACGUCCUACGGGAGAAAGUGGGGGACCGCAAGGCCUCACGCAGAAAGAUGAGCCGACGACCGAUUAGCUAGUUGGUGGGGUAAAGGCCCACCAAGGCGACGAUCGGUAGCUGGUCUGAGAGGAUGAUCAGCCACACUGGGACUGAGACACGGCCCAGACUCCUACGGGAGGCAGCAGUGGGGAAUAUUGGGCAAUGGGCGCAAGCCUGAUCCAGCCAUGCCGCGUGUGUGAAGAAGGCCUUCGGGUUGUAAAGCACUUUUGUCCGGAAAGAAAUCCCUGGAGCUAAUACCUUCGGGGGAUGACGGUACCGGAAGAAUAAGCACCGGCUAACUUCGUG
rnacentral:rRNA from 1 species